AAAAAAUUCUCUUAAGUAACUGUUGUGGAGAAAUUCUGACUUAGGCAUCGGAGAGUCCCCUGUCGGGUCAGCCCAACCCCUCUUUGUCUACUCUUCUGUGUUCAAUUGUUCAUCAUGUGGAUCCUAUGAAUAAUUCUAUUAUGCUUGAGGUUGAUUCCUGAUGGUCCUCGGGUUCUUGCUCAUAGGUUUGAGGACCUAUUGAGGAUGGUAGCGAACCUUAAGGAGUUGGUAUUGACGGCCAUGGAUAGGGUUGACCAACUAGUGAGUCACUUCCUAAGUUUUUGCUUCUUUAUUUUUACCUAUUAUACAUGUAAUAUGCUAAUUCCAUGUCCCACAAGAGAGAAUCGAGUGAGAAUAUCUCACUACUAUUAAGAGGGUCCAAGGCGAGAGGGACGUGCCAGAAGCUGUUGUUAGGGUGAUCUAUAUGGUAGAAGUUACAAUAUCCAUUCCUCUUGUUGAGAAGGAAUCUGCUCCCACCGCAUCUUCAGCCUACCUUGGUUCAUGAGAGGAGGGAUGACGAAGCUGAAGAUGAGAAGGAUGAUGAUGAUGAGAAUAACGAUAUCAAGUAGUCUGGCUCCAAUGACAGUGACGGAGAUGAGAGUGAGACCACGACUAAUGCUACUGGGUCUAACCUUGGGGCUAAGCAGACCAAGGUCUACAAGAAGAGGAAGAGGGAUGAUUUGCUCCUCCCCUAGGCUUAGUCUUCAUCUGCUUUUCCCUAGUUGGGCUUUUUUCCAUAUAUUUUCUCUUUCCUCUUUUCUUUUUCUUUAAAAUGGUGGCCCACCCUAGGGCUUUGUAAAAGCUUUCUUUUGAAUAUCAAUAAAGAAA